UUUAGCCAGUGUCUGCUCACUCAGAUAACACAGUGACCAAUAAUUUAAUAUCAAAAUAUUUUCUUAUUUUAGUAUUCUUGUUUUCAGUAUAAAUAUCUAAACAUUCUUAAAUCAAGAUACAAUUUGAGAAGCAAAAUGUUAUAAGAUAUUUGUAAAAUGUGCCCUGGGUCAAUGUUCAUCAAUGUUGUUAUAUGGACUUUUAUUUUGAAUUUCCCCAUGUUCUCUUCUGUGAUUAGUUCCUGUUUGCCUUGUUGCCUUGAUUGUCUCCAUAGUUAUCCUCAUUAGUUUCCAUAGUAACUUAUCUACACCUGUUUAUCAUGAGCACUUGUGUUCCCUGUAUAUUUAUAUCCCUGUGUUUCAGUUGUCUUUUGUUGGUCAUUGUUCUUGCAUGUCUCUCUUUGUAAGCUGUUGCAUUCCUGGUUUCCCUGUUUGGAUUAUGUUCCUGUCUCUGUUUUGGAUUAUCUUGGAUUGUGUUUUUUGAAUAAACUAUUGCUGCACUUGGAUUCUCACCUAAGUCUUGUUUUCUGAAAACUGUAUCAAAAUGAAAUGCAAGCUUAAAACUAGAAAAAAAGGGUCUGCCAGUAAGGGGGAAACUCAAUGGUGGAAACUUUCGGUACGACAGACUUGUGUUCAAGCAGCAUGAAAGUAAAAAAGUGGAGAGAGUCAGAGAGGUAAAUGCUGACGGCUGGAGAUUCCCCAGGCACAUCUUUCAAUAGGAGCUCUGCUUUAACUGGCUAAGGUCUUUUUUGUUGGUAGAAAAAUACGCAUGAGGGAGUGGGAAAGAGAAUGCUGACCAUUUAUUCGGGCCUCCCCGGUCGUGAAACAGAUGUGUGAGAAAAUCUGACAGCCAUGAAAUAAAUGAAUGCAAUGUGGCAAUCAAAACAGAAGGAGAAUUUCAGAUAAUUACUCAGUUUCUCCCCAAGAUUGUUAGAAAAAAAUGCAUGUCCUCAUUUUUUUCGUACAGUAUGUGAUUGCAUGCUUUCUUAGUAUUUCACUUUUUUACCUGCUUGGCAGCUCAAUUUAGUGAAAAUUGCUAAAUCAUAUUUGCAGUAAUGGAAAUGUCUAUCAAGGCACAUCUAUCAAGACCAUAAUUGAAUUCUCGCGCCGUCAUUGCAGGUAACUAAUUACACAAUUUAAUAUGACGUGGAUAUGACAAAAUAUCACUUCAAAAUAACACUAAUAUAUGCUUUAGACGUAAAUUGUUCCAUUAAAUAUGCUUUUUCCCUCUCCCUUCAAAUAUACUAAGUUCAUAUUUAUAUUUAUAACCAUAAAGCCUCAUUGGACAAGCUAUCUUAAAUCAAACAUACAGUAAAUUAAAUGCAAUUUUAAGGCUUUAUCACCAAUGACAUUUGAGUAGUUCUGACUGGUAGUUUCUUGGAGUAUGUAACUGACUUGUGUCUGUCUGUUAAUCAGCCGCUUUCUUUCUGUUUCUUGGGAAUUUGUAUUUUGAAUUAAUAUUGGACACGAAUACACUGUCAAAAAAUGUUUUUUUCAAAGGUGUAAAUAAAGAUUAUUGGAGUACAUUUUAUAAAA